UGCAGUUGAUGUAAAACCGAUUUUCCCUUGUUUUGAAGGAAAUUUCCAAUGUCCAGAAGUUCCUUCUUUCUUAUUGCAACGACACUAUUUCUCUCCAUUCUGCAGUUAAGUGUAAGAGAUUCACUUGAGGGAAGUGGCUGAUAGAGCGAUGGAGAUUUACCAUGGGAAUGAAUAAAGCAGAAUUUCUGAUGAAAGUGUUGAGGGGCAUUUGGCAUCCACCAGUAUCCAUCAGGCAGUGAGCCUCUUGUGCAGGGGUGAUGUUCUAUAAAAUCUCAGCAAAGGAAAACCAAAGAAACUUAGAAAUUAAAGCUGAUUGGAAUCAAGGAGAUGAAAGCCCUUAUCAGGGGUCUUGUUCAAUCAGGAAGUCUAUUGGCCAACGGUGAGCUCAGUGCAGGAAGAUAGAGGAAUCUAUGUCGCAUAAGACCUGGCAAAGGGGAGAUUGUUGGCAGUUUUCUGCAGUUCCAAUGGUUAUCAAAGUUUAGCAUGCACAACCAUCGUUUGGAGAGCUAGUUCAAAGGACAUAAUUCCUGGCCUCCCUCUCUUGAAGAUUAAGAAGUUCUAAGAUUGGGAUAAAUCUAAAGAUGUUAAUGGAGCAUGCAGCAUUCGAUUGAGAAAAAUCAGGAGCCUCAGAUAACACAUAGUGCACGUGGAUGAUUUAUUAUCUGAUAAAAAGUAGAGUGAUCAACAGAGUCAUCUUUUUUCCCCCUUCGUCCUUCCCAUCAAACUUCAUCUUUCUUUAAGGACUUAAUAAGUGAGAUCCCGGGCUGCUGAUUCCCUGCCUAUCCAGGUUUUAGAAUACUUGGCGGACUCCUUCCUCUUUUCCUCUGAGGGGCAACAGCUGGUUUUCAUUACGCAUCAGAUUAUGAUACACACCGAAAAGAAAAUGGUCACAAUGAAUAAAGAGGGAGUUCUGGUAAUACUGUGGUUUGUUCCUGGGGGUGUCAAGGUGAAGAAUCCAUCCUGUUCUUCAGACCACUGUAAA